UGAAUACGAGACGCUAAGGCGUCGAAGUAGUGUAUGUCAUACUUCCAAGAAAAGCUUGCACUGUCAUAGAUAAAAAACGCCUGUACCAUAACCGACACAGGUGGGUAGGUAGAGUAUACUAAGGGGCGCGAGAUAACUCUCUCUAAGGAACUCGGCAAAAUAACUCCGUAACUUCGGGAGAAGGAGUGCCUUAUUCGUAAGGUUGCAAUAACAAGAUCCAAGCAACUGUUUAUCAAAAACACAGGUCUCCGCUAAGUCGUAAGACGAUGUAUGGGGGCUGACGCCUGCCCAGUGCCAGAAGGUUAAAGAAGUUGGUUAGCAAUUGCGAAGCUGAUAACUGAAGCCCUGGUGAACGGCGGCCGUAACUAUAACGGUCCUAAGGUAGCGAAAUUCCUUGUCGGGUAAGUUCCGACCCGCACGAAAGGCGUAAUGAUUUGGAUACUGUCUCGGAGAGGGGCUCGGUGAAAUAGACUUGUCUGUGAAGAUGCGGACUACCUGCACCAGGACAGAAAGACCCUAUGAAGCUUUACUGUAACUUGAAAUUGAAAUUGGACUUUAUUCGCGCAGUAUAGGUGGGAGGCGUUGAUUAUAAUCUUGUGGGAUUAUUGGAGCCAUCAGUGAGAUACCACUCUUGUAAUGUUAGAUUUCUAACUUUGAAUCAUUAUCUGGUCAAAGAACAGUUUCAGGCGGGCAGUUUGACUGGGGCGGUCGCCUCCUAAACGGUAACGGAGGCGUACAAAGGUUUCCUCUGAACGGUUAGAAAUCGUAUCUAGAGUGUAAAGGCAUAAGGAAGCUUGACUGUGAGACCUACAAGUCGAGCAGGGACGAAAGUCGGUCUUAGUGAUCUGACGGUACUGAGUGGAAAGGCCGUCACUCAACGGAUAAAAGUUACUCUAAGGAUAACAGGCUGAUCUCCCCCAAGAGUUCACAUCGACGGGGAGGUUUGGCACCUUGAUGUCGGCUCAUCGCAUCCUGGGGCGGUAGUACGUCCCAAGGGUUGGGCUGUUCGCCCAUGAAAGCGGUACGCGAGCUGGGUUCAGAACGUCGUGAGACAGUUCGGUCCAUAUCCGGUGUAGGCGUUAGAAUAUUGAGAGGAGCCUUCUUUAGUACGAGAGGACCGAGAAGGACAUACCUCUGGUGUACCAGUUAUCGUGCCAACGGUAAACGCUGGGUAGCUAUGUAUGGAGUGGAUAACCGCUGAAAGCAUCUAAGUGGGAAGCCCACCACAAGAUAAGUAUUCUCACC
rnacentral:rRNA from 1 species